UACGUAGGGGGCAAGCGUUGUCCGGAAUUACUGGGCGUAAAGCGCGUGUAGCGGGACGGCAAGUCGGACGUGAAAGGCUCGGGCUCAACCCGAGAUGGCCGUUCGAAACUGCCGUUCUUGAGGGUCGAAGAGGAGAGUGGAAUUCCAGGUGUAGCGGUGAAAUGCGUAGAUAUCUGGAGGAACACCGGUGGCGAAGGCGGCGUCCUGGACCAACACUGACACUGAGGAGCGAAAGCCAGGGGAGGCAAACGGG
rnacentral:rRNA from 1 species